CCUACGAGAGGCAGCAGUGAGGAAUAUUGGUCAAUGGGCGCGAGCCUGAACCAGCCAAGUAGCGUGAAGGAUGACUGCCCUACGGGUUGUAAACUUCUUUUAUACAGGAAUAAAGUGAGGCACGUGUGCCUUUUUGUAUGUACUUUAUGAAUAAGGAUCGGCUAACUUCGUGCCAGCAGCCGCGGUAAUACGGAGGAUCCGAGCGUUAUCCGGAUUUAUUGGGUUUAAAGGGAGCGUAGAUGGGUUGUUAAGUAAGUUGUGAAAGUUUGCGGCUCAACCGUAAAAUUGCAAUUGAUACUGGCAGUCUUGAGUACAUUUGAGGUAGGCGGAAUUCGUGGUGUAGCGGUGAAAUGCUUAGAUAUCACGAAGAACUCCGAUUGCGAAGGCAGCUUACUAAACUGCCACUGACAUUGAUGCUCGAAAGUGUGGGUAUCAAACAGGAUUAGAUACCCCAGUAGUC
rnacentral:rRNA from 1 species